CCUACGGGUGGCAGCAGUGGGGAAUAUUGCACAAUGGGGGAAACCCUGAUGCAGCGACGCCGCGUGAGUGAAGAAGGAUUUAGGUAUGUAAAGCCCUAUUAGCAGGGAAGAAAAUGACGGUACCUGACUAAGAAGCACCGGCUAACUACGUGCCAGCAGCCGCGGUAAUACGGAGGGGGCAAGCGUUAUCCGGAUUUACUGGGUGUAAAGGGAGCGUAGACGGGGUUGCAAGUCAGAUGUGAAAGCCUGGGGCUCAACUCCGGGACUGCAUUUGAAACUGUGUGACUGGAGUGCGGGAGAGGUAAGUGGAAUUCCUGGUGUAGCGGUGAAAUGCGUAGAGAUCAGGAGGAACACUAGUGGCGAAGGCGGCUUACUGGACUGUAACUGACGUUGAUGCUCGAAAGCGUGGGGAGCAAACAGGAUUAGAUACCCCGGUAGUC
rnacentral:rRNA from 1 species